UACGUAGGGAGCGAGCGUUGUCCGGAUUCAUUGGGCGUAAAGAGCUCGUAGGCGGCUUGGUAAGUCGGAUGUGAAACCUCCAGGCUCAACCUGGAGGCGCCAUCCGAUACUGCCAUGGCUAGAGUCCGGUAGGGGCCCACGGAAUUCCUGGUGUAGCGGUGAAAUGCGCAGAUAUCAGGAGGAACACCAAUGGCGAAGGCAGCUCGCUGGGACGGUACUGACGCUGAGACGCGAAAGCGUGGGGAGCAAACAGG
rnacentral:rRNA from 1 species